UACAAUACAUGGUAUUGUUGGCGGGCCAUCACCAUCUAAGCGAUCAGUUUUGGCUUUCUUCGCCGGUGGGGUUCAUGGGCCCGUUAGGCCUGUUCUACUUGAACAUUGGGAACACAAAGAUGAAGAUCUUCAAGUUCACAAGUACCUUCCAAAGGGUGUGUCUUACUAUGAUAUGUUAAGAAAAAGCAAGUUCUGUCUUUGUCCUAGUGGGUACGAGGUUGCAAGUCCAAGAGUGGUGGAAGCAAUAUACACAGGUUGUGUUCCAGUGCUGAUUUCAGAUCAUUAUGUUCCUCCAUUCAGUGAUGUUUUGAAUUGGAAAUCGUUUUCUGUUGAAGUCUCUGUCAAUGAUAUACCUAAUUUGAAGAAAAUUCUAACGAGUAUAUCUCCAAGACAGUAUAUAAGAAUGCAGAGAAGAGUAGGACAGGUUAGGAGACACUUUGAGGUACAUUCUCCACCUACGAGAUUUGAUGUAUUUCAUAUGAUCCUUCAUUCUAUAUGGCUUAGAAGAUUAAACUUCAGACUCCACGAUGAUCAAUAACAUACUAGAGGAUUAUUAGUUAAUUAGCACCUAUGGUUGCCAAUUAGUUUCAAUAGUGUUUUAUUGGCAAUGUAAGAUUUUUUUCUUAGUGUGAAUCGAAUAUAUUUUUUCUUGUGUGAAUCGAGUAUUUUCUGCGUGCAACUCCACACAUUAAUCCCUCAAGCCGGGUAAUGUAAGAUGAUGGUGUGAAUGUGAUUCUUUCCCUUGAUUCUGGUGUAUAAAAUUUGUAUGAAGUAAUAUUUGUGUGAAUGAUACUUUACCAUCCCAUAUUGGAUGCCAUUGUCUAUUAGAAAAAAGUGAACACUUUAUAUCUAGAGUUUUAAAUAUGCAAAUUGAGGUUUGGUUUUUUCUUGUAAAAAUUAUUUUUAAGUCCUUACAAAUGUAUCAAUCAUGUUGUUUUGUUUUAAUAUGAGCUAUCGGUGCUAUCUGUCUUGGUCUUUGUAAUAUGUAAAAUAUUUGAUUUUGGUCUUUCAAAAUCAUGGAUGUGAAUAGCUUAGACUGAAUUAGGCUUUAUGAACCUAAGUCUGACCUUCUAAAAAAUUAAAGACUUAAGUCAGAUCUUUAGCUUAUCAUAGAUUGUAGGUCUGAUUUUGACCUUUUGAUAGUCGGAUAUAAUUUGUUACUUUAUUUAUUAGUCUAGUACAUAUUAACUUAUUUAAAUAAUUGAUUAAAUCUAUCUUUCAAUAAAUUAUCUCUGUAUUUCAUAUGCUUGUAAAAAAAAAAAAAAAGGCUAAAUUGCAUUUUUUUUUGUCCCUUAACUAUUUAAAUAGUAUCGUUUUGGUCCCUUAAUUAAAAUUCGAUUUAUUUUGGUCUCUUAACUUCUCUCCGUUACACAUUUUGGUCAUUUCCGUUAGUUUUAAUUCAAAAAUGUUAGGUUUUCUUUUGAAUUUAUUUUGAGAUUCAAGGUUGAUGGAGAUGAUAUGGAAUCCUUAUCUUAAUAAAAAAAAAAAAAACUCUCUUUUAGUAAAAAAAAAACCUAGGUUUAAAAAACUAUGAAAUAGACAUUUUAGUAAAAAAAACUCAAAUGUUUAAAUAAACUAUAUAAUAGACUAAUGAGAUUAAACUCUCUUUAAAAUGACAUUUUAGAGAAUUUGAGUAUAUAUGAUAUCAUAUUUCAAUUCAAUUUUUAAUAAUAUAUUUAAAUGUGUGAAAAUUAGUAUAAACUAAUCAGUUUAAAUUACAGAAAAAAUUAACAAAUUUAUCAUGGGUGGUCGAGGGGAGUGUCAAAAUAUGUGGUCCAAAGGCGUCCUUAUGGUGGAAGGAGUCGUGUAUUAUUAGGGAGGGUGCAAUAGGCGGGGUUUGGGGCGUGACGUAGGUGAUGGUGAGAGUACAUUGUUUUGGCAUGAUUUCUGGAUGGAAGGGUGUCUGCGGUCAAGGUUUAGUCGUUUUUUGACCUUUGUAUCGAUAGUAAUGUUAUGGUAGUUGAGAGAUACAUAGGCGCAAGUGUGGGGAGUGGAUGGACAAAUGUGUCUUUUUGCCUGGGAGAAGGAGUAGUUCGAGCGUUAUGUUUUGUUGUUGGAUACUAUUUUUUUUAGGAUAACAUCGUUGAUCAAUGGACUUGGUUCCAGUGGCGCAGAGCCAAGAAUUUUAUAGAGUCUGGGCAAAAAAUUUAUCGCACAACGUUACUUCCUUCCUGCGAAUAAUUUCACCUCGGAUCCUAUGGUGUUACCUCAACUCGGAACCUAAAUCCUUGGCAAAAUCUGCAGGAAAUGUGUUUCCUGCGGAAUUUACACCAAAAUCCACAAGUAAAUCUGCAAGAAAAGCUAAAAGUUCUAGUAAUGGCUGGGCUUGCUACAAAGAAAGUUGGAGCUGAGCCUGGGCUAGUGCCCAGGCUAGCUGGGGGUGGCUCCGCCCCUGCUUGGUUCCAUUAUAUGUCUGACAGUUAUUCAAUCAAAGACACUUAUCAAAUUCUUACAUUUUGAGGCAAUUUAAUGUCAUGCAUAUGAAUUAUUUGAAAAAAGCACAGUUCAAUAAAUUUUUACAAUAAAUUACUUUUGUUGGAGCAAUUUUUGGACCAUAUCAAACUCCAAUUGCAUGGUGGUUGAAGAAUCAUAGACUGAUUGAUUUCCGUUGUAGAUGUUCAUUCUUGGUAAACUAGCCCAUUACUUUGUUUAGGAUUGUCGACUUUGUAAUCUUGGCUUAGCCUUUUUUUCCCCCUUGUUUAUGUAUAGAUAACUCUUGUUAAUCUCUUUGCGGCACGUCUUGUGAUUCAUAAGGAAGUUAGUUUUUUUUUUUCCUCUUAAAAAACUGGACUAAAAUGAAUAUUACAAUAAAUAUUUUCCAAGUAACUUUCUACACAGAUUAAAAGCAUAAAAAUGGUAUAUUUGCAUAUACCAUAGUGUAGAAACUAUUAAACAUAGGGUUUUGUUAACCUGUGUUUCAGGGGCACUGGUUAAAGAAACUAAAAAUAGAAAUUAUGUCUUAAAAAUGUAAGUUUUUAUUUUUUAUCAAGUAAUUAUUACACAACUUUUUAAUAAAAUCUUAUUCUUUUUGGAUGCUUAACCAAUGUCCAUGAAACACUAUUUAACAUUCUCCUAAAACAUAUUGUAAAAAAGAGAAACCAAUGAAGGAAAUGAAAAAUAUUGCAUGCGAUGCAAAUACUCGGAAAUGAUUAUGGGAAGAGUUUGAAUACUAUUGGCAAUAAGAUCACACCAAUUUAUUACCAUGAUUCUUCCUUCCUAUGAAUAUUAUAUAUCCCACCCAAAACAUUUCUGCUUUAUGUUUAACCCUACUCCUCUGUCUCAACUCUUCUCACAUCUUUUCUUUUUCACUAACAAAAUCAUCAUGAUUUCUCCUACCAUAUAACUCUACGUACUAUAUGCAGCAUUAAUAAGAAUACAAUGGCUUUUGAAUCAUCUUCAUCAAUAAAACUCUUGUUUAUUAUGGUUCCACUCAUAGUGAUUGCAGUGCUUGUUUCUGUAUCGGGUCCUAACCCUUCUGAUUGGGUUCCUUUUCCAUACCUACACCAUUUAUGGAGUUCACAAAGUGGUGCUGUUACAAAAACUAUGGAGAAGUCUCAAGUUGCUGUGGCUGGUGACUUUGUUCUCAAUCGAUCUUCUACUCCACCACUUUCUAUUCAGGUUAUUCAAACUCCUCAACAAUUGGUAAGAGCAGUUUUUUUGUACAAUAUUUUUCUUUUGAUUAAUCCUUAAAUUUCGUGAUUUGUAAAUUAAACUCAAUAUCUUAUAAUGGAAUAUUAAGUUCUCUAUUGGAAUUAUUCAUAAAUUAUUUUAUCAUUAUUAUUUAAUAAAAAAGGAAAGAAAGUAAAAAAAAAAAAAAAAAGAAUUUAAGACCGUAAUAAAGUAAUUGAGUUUUAAUUUUUUUAAAUCGUGUCUUGCUGCAAAAGAUUUUACAUUGCCGUAGCCCAAAUUCCUGUUCAAACUUGAAAUUUUAAAUAAUAUUCGCGUCAUCUCAUCUAAACUCUAUUUGAUAUUUAUGUUUUGUUUUCAUUUCAUACUCUUUUUAUAGAAUAAAUAUAUUCGAUUUUUUUUUCUUCCGAAUACGAUGAAUGGCUAGAGAUAGAAUCUUUAAGAUCUAGUAAAGAAAAAGAAGGAGAAUUUUUUGGAGAGGAAGAUUGAGAGACUUCAAUUUUCAGAAUACAAUGAAUGGCUAGAGAUCAAAUCUUUAAGAUUUAGUAAAAAAAAAGAUCGAGAAUUUUCUGGAGAGGAAGAUUGAGAAACUUCAAUACUCUUGUAUUGUUUUUAUUUCCUUUUCGUUUGUGUUUUUUAGAGCACUUUCUCUGGGUUAGUUAAUAUCCUAAAAAUAAAUAAGGAAAAUAUUUUGGUACAGUUUUUUUAAUAGAUGACACGAGUCAUUGAAAAUUCAUAUACUUAGAGGAGAUAGGACUCAAACUUCGGUCAAAUCAACUAGCAUUUUUGUUUUGACCAUUUAGCUAGAACUAAUAGACUAUUUAUUGUUAAUAAUGACCUCCUUAUUUCAAUUUUUUUAUAAAUAUUUUGGUACUAUUUUUGUACCUCAUUUCAAAGUUUCUAGUAACAUAUCUUAAUUAUAUUAUAUAUUUUAGUUUGAAUGAAUUUGUAAAGUUUAUUUGGUUGUAAGAAGAAGUUGAGAAGAGAGAAAUAAAUGAGAAAUAGUGUCAAAAAUGAAAAUAAAUAAGAAAUAGAAUUGAUUUGUUACAAGAGAAAUAUAAAAGAGAUAUGAAUGAGAAAAAUGCUGAUUAUUUAUAAAAGUACUAAAAUAUUAACACACAAAUGUUUUUUUAUUUAAAUCACAUAAAAGAUGUUUAUUUUUUGUUGCAUGGCUAAAUUAAACAACAAAGACAAAAAGAAAGAGGGCAAAAACAACAACUACUAUCUAGGAAAGAAAGUGUCACUCAUGUUGGUCUUAAAGAUAUUCAUAAGACCUUCCAGAAGAGAUGAAUGGAGAAAAAGAUCAAAUAUCAAAUGAAGCUUCAAGUUUGACCAUAUAAUUGGCACACUGAUUUCCUUCAUGAAUAGCGUGGAAUUUUAAAGAGGAGCCUUUGAUGUGGUUGAUACAAUACAAUGAAUAAGAGUAACAAACAAGAUCAAUGAUAUCCAAGUCUUUGGCUAACAAGAGAACCUGCUAGAUAGUGUAUAACCAUAUGUAUUUGCAAUUGAUAAUAAGAGAGAAAUGAUGAUAUUUUAUACAUUGAUAAAAACACUCGUAUUUUGUAAAUUUUUCAUUGGCAUUCAAAUAUCUAACUUCAAAGGAUAAUUUCUAACCAUACGUGAUCAUGUUCAUAAGUCAUAGCUGAACCGACAAAAAUGUUAAAAUUGUUAAGGUGAAUGUUGUGUCGGGGACAACUCCACUUAUAUGUAUGAGUCUCAAUAGCUAUGUCUAUCAAUAAAAAUACUGACAUGGUAUAAACAAAAAUAAUACGUGAAAGGGACUUGAUUACAUCAAACACAACAUCAGAAACAAAAUAUAAAGAGAGACAUGGUAAACAAAAGCAAUAAGAUGGGCAAGAUACAAGAACGCUUACUAUCAAUGGAAAGGAAAAGCAGAGAAGGACGACGUACAUGAAGGUCAAGACAGGUAACAAAAAUUCAGUAAGGACAACUUUGAAAUUCUAAAAUAAAAUUGAUUAUAAUUUUGGAAAUAUAAUAAAAAUGUAAACAACGUACAUUCUUUCCCCUCCGAAGAAAACUCAAAUUUGGGGAGCAAAAUGCAGGGCUGACCCUACGCAUAGGUGGGGAGUGCGACGGCCGAAGGCUUAGGUCCAUAAUUUUUUUAUAGGGGGUAUAUAUACAACAGUUUAUUUUAUUGGUGGGGUAUAUAUAUCAAAUCGUACAAAUGGGCCCAAAUCCUUGUCUUGGCCCAUGAUGUCCAUUCUGGCCUUUUUCCUUAAAAAAAAUCUUGUGUCAUUUUUCUCUUGAAUUGAAAAGCAAAAAAAAAGAAAAAGUAAUUGAAAAGCCAAAACAGUUUUCUCUAUUUACGGUACAAUUUUUUGAUUUGUUGAUUUAGGUUUGUUUGAUUUGUUGAUUUCGAUUAUGUAUUAUUCUCGGGUGCUUUUGGUUUGUUUAUUUGUUUUCAUGUUAUGUAUUCCAAUUAUUGUUUGUUCUCAGGUGCUCACUAUUAAGAAACUAGUGCAAUUGGAAAUACACAUAUUGCAAUUUCUCCUUGUUGCAUAUGUCUUUACUUUUUUUGUUGUAUUAUUCUUAGGUGAUAAAAUUUUAGUCUAUUUUUAUGAUGCAUUAUAUAAUGGGUUUUUUUUUCUCAUACUAUACUUAAACCCAUAAAAUGUAAACAACGACCGUGACAAAAAGUGAUGCUAUGAGGAUUUUGCUUCACUCCUCUCCUAAAAAUUGAACUAAAACAAAAAAAAAAUACUCCUUUUCCUCCUCUCUAAAACCCCUAACGUUAGUAAAACAAAACUUAAGUUUUAAGUUCCGGAGAAGAACCAAUAAUUUUGAAUGACUUGGUAUUAAAAAGGUAGGUGUGUUUUGGAAGAGAGAAAAAAACAAGACAGGUUGCAUUAAUUUCUGUUGCUUUAUUGAUGUAAAUGAUGAAUUUAUAGUUUAUGUGUCAUAUGGUGUGCUAAAAAAUAAAAAAUGAUCCAAGUCAAAAAAAUUUAACAUGAAUAUUUGAGACAUUUAAAUAUACUUUUGACCCAACACAACUUCUAUGAAUCUAAAAUCUUAUGGUUUUCAGCAGAAACCAAACCUGGCAGGAAAGCUCAGCAACUUAGACAGAGUCGAAGCUGAUCUACUACAAGCUAGAGCUGCAAUAAGAAAAGCAGUAAAUGGAAAACAAACACAAGACAUAGACUAUGUUCCAACAGGACCAAUGUAUCACAAACCUAACUUAUUUCACAGGUAAAUAAUACACAACAUUUUUUUUUCUAUCCUAAAUAUUCUACUUACAUUUGGUUUGUUUGAUAUAAUUCACUGACCUAAUUUUGCAAAAUUUUAUUUAACAGGAGUUACUUAGAAAUGGAGAAACGGUUCAAAGUAUUUGUGUACGAAGAAGGGGAGCCUCCAGUUUUCCAUGAUGGACCUUGCAGAGAUAUAUACUCCAUGGAAGGAAUUUUCAUCAAUCAAAUGGAGAUGAAUGAUAAAUUCAUAACAAAAGACCCUGAGAAGGCACAUGUAUUUUUCCUUUCUUAUAGUGUAGCAAUGAUGGUCCAUUAUGUCUAUGUACGAGACUCUCGUGCUUAUGACCUCUUAAGGAUAACCGUCAAAGACUACAUCAAUGUCCUUUCCGAAAAAUAUCCCUAUUGGAACCGAAGUCAUGGAGCUGAUCAUUUCAUACUUGCUUGCCAUGAUUGGGUAAAUCUAUCACUAGCAUUUUUUUCUUAAAAAUCUUAGUACAUGCAUUCUAGAGUAAGUGAACACUUCUUAGCAUUUUCUUAAAAGAUAUCAUACAUACAUUUAUUGUAGUCAAUUUUUUUUAUUCUAUCAAUUAAUUAAUGGGAGUUUCUACGGUGGAGUCGGGAAAUUGACUUUUUUGAAAAGGUUAAUUUUGAUCUUAAUGUUCGGUUCAUUUUUAAAUUGUUGAUUGCUGAUUAAUGAUCAAUAAUAAUUCAUCCAGUAAUGCUUGCAAAAUCUUGGACUUACAUGUACUAUUUCAUCGUUGGCAUCUUUAACAUGCAAACAUAGUUGAUGAUAUUAUGUGAUAGUCUUAAGUGUUACACUUUCUGGGGUGUUACACUUAAAACAAGGUAGAGUAAAAUUAGAUUAAGUGCAGUCUUGUUAAUCUGAUGAAUUGAUGAUACUAUGAGGACUGGACUUUUGAUGCCACCGUACAAACAGUGGGGUGCUACUCACUACACUUUUGAUGCUAUAGUAUUGACUUUAUCAGAAAAGUCAUUCUCAUGACUUCACCAUGGAAUUUUCCUUAAUUAUAACAUUGCAAUAUUGCACAUGUUACACAAAAGCUUUUUUAAAAUGUUGUGACCUACAUUGUGGUAUACAAUUUUUGCUUCUAUUUUCAGGGGCCAGAGGUCUCGAAUGCAGUUCCAAACUUGUACAAGAAUUCGAUUCGUGCGUUUUGCAAUGCCAACACCUCAGAGGGAUUCAAGCCAGUAAAAGAUGUAUCUAUUCCAGAAAUCAAUGUUCGAACCGGCAUAAUUGAUGAUCUUCUUGGCGGACCAUCACCAUCUAAGAGAUCAAUUUUGGCUUUCUUCGCUGGUGGGCUUCAUGGGGAUAUUAGGAAUGUUCUACUUGAACAUUGGGAACACAAAGAUGAAGAUAUUCAAGUUCACAAGUACCUUCCAAAGGGUGUGUCUUACUAUGCUAUGUUGAGAAAAAGCAAGUUUUGUCUUUGUCCUAGUGGGU
rnacentral:lncRNA from 1 species